CUCACUGGGGUUGAGUUUCUCCAAGAAGUUGGUGUCUUCCUGAGCAACCUGCAUUCAGAUGGGAGGAAAUACCAUCCUGAGGUGCCAUUCUCCCUCCAUUGCCCUGAAGUCUCAUUGUUGAGCAAGCUGAUACUGUGGAGGCCCUCAGCACACAAAGCUCUCUGCCUCAGAAGCUGGGAUGAAGAGAUGAAGCCCUGAAUCCCCUGUGGUCCUCGUUUUGCACACUACUGUACAUCUCCUGCAUUUCUGUGAUUUGCAUUCCCCUGUGAAGCAGCCAAAUGAAUAAACAUUAAACAUGGAGACCGAAAGAGCAAUAUUCUUGCUAAAGAACCUCUCUCUUUCAAAAAUCAAUGAGAUAAUAUCCUUUUAAAGCUAUUUCCAACUGUUGUCUCUCCUGAUUUGGCUCUCUGGGAGUUGAAAAUAUUGAGGAGAUUACUGACAGAUUUAACAACGGAGAGGUUCACCUUAUUUCGAUCUGGUACUUUUAAUGUCCUCUAAUGCUUUGUCUAUGCUGUGAAGCCAGACAAGAGGCCAUCUCACUGCUUUUAUUUGGUCAGGUGAAGCACUGGGUAACUGUGACUUUCUGGA